UAAAUCCUGGCUUCUCUGGCAGUGUAUAUAAGGCCCGCUCUGGCCACGUUGAAACCAUCACUCGCUUGAAGCCCAUCGAGCACUUUGGACUAUGCGGGCCCUGGUUGUCGUCGCUGUUCUUUGCGCCCUCCUGGGGGUCGCCUUGGCCGGCUUCUACGGUCACGGUGGUGGCUUUGGCCACGGUGGUGGUCACGGCUACCAUAAGACGGUUCCAGGCCCUAGUUUCCUCGUCAAGACCGUACAUCACGUGCACAAGCUUCACCAGGGGGGCACCCUCUUUGGUCAAGCCCACCACGGCUACGGAGGAGGAUACGGUGGAGGACACGGAGGCGUCUUUUUGCUCAAGGGCGGAUACGGCCACGGAUAUCACUGACACCAACGAGUGCGGAAAUGAAGCUGUAAGCCGCCGGAAGGACUGAAGUGCAAGAGAUCUUCAGCUUGGUAUGGUCCGCAAAAGGACCAGAGGCUCACAAACCAUGCUGUAAAUAAACUGUAAAUAAAAAGUUUUGAUUUUUCCCAA